rnacentral:rRNA from 1 species
AUUGAACGCUGGCGGCAGGCCUAACACAUGCAAGUCGAGCGGCAACGGGAAAGUAGCUUGCUACUUUUGCCGGCGAGCGGCGGACGGGUGAGUAAUGCCUGGGAAAUUGCCCAGUCGAGGGGGAUAACAGUUGGAAACGACUGCUAAUACCGCAUACGCCCUACGGGGGAAAGCAGGGGACCUUCGGGCCUUGCGCGAUUGGAUAUGCCCAGGUGGGAUUAGCUAGUUGGUGAGGUAAUGGCUCACCAAGGCGACGGGCCCUAGCUGGUCUGGGAGGAUGAUCAGCCACACUGGAACUGGGACACGGUCCAGACUCCUACGGGAGGCAGCAGUGGGGAAUAUUGCACAAUGGGGGAAACCCUGAUGCAGCCAUGCCGCGUGUGUGAAGAAGGCCUUCGGGUUGUAAAGCACUUUCAGCGAGGAGGAAAGGUUGAUGCCUAAUACGUAUCAACUGUGACGUUACUCGCAGAAGAAGCACCGGCUAACUCCGUGCCAGCCGCCGCCGUAACAC